rnacentral:misc_RNA from 1 species
GAUGAAGAACGCAGCGAAAUGCGAUAAGUAAUGUGAAUUGCAGAAUUCAGUGAAUAAUCGAAUCUUUGAACGCACAUUGCGCCCCUUGGUAUUCCGGGGGGCAUGCCUGUUCGAGCGUCAUUAUAACCCCUCAAGCUCAGCUUGGUGUUGGGGCCUGCCAACUGGCAGCCCUUAAAAUCAGUGGCGGCGCCAUCUGGCUCUAAGCGUAGUAAUUUCUCUCGCUAUAGGGUCCCGGUGGAUGCUGGCCAACAACCCCCAAUUUUCUAUGGUUGACCUCGGAUCAGGUAGGGAUACCCGCUGAACUUAAGCAUAUCAAUAAGCGGAGGA